rnacentral:lncRNA from 1 species
AUGAGGAAACUAAUGUGCUGUUUUUAUUUUACAGAUGAAAAAACUGAAGUCCAACAGACAAUGUUAGUGAUGUUCCCAAGGUCAAAGCUGAGCUGCUCAACAGAGCUGGCAAUAUAUCUUAAAUUUUCAAACCAGUUCUUCACGCAUCAGGCAGUCCAUUCCAUUCUGAAGUCAUUCCAGUAUUCUCAACAAUAUUUGGGCAAUGGAAACAGUUCCUGGAGCUCCUUAUACUCAGAGGGCUCCUGUUGUCUGUAAUUCCUGUGUCAUAUCUGCCAACCUGCAUAAUUGAAGCAGCAGUAGGAGUUAUAGUUGUUACUCGUAUACCACACAUGUAAGACACCUGUUAUGUUUAAGUAGGCAAUUUGUAACUAGUAUUGGUCUUGUAACUUAAAAAUGAGGAUUACUGUAAAUAUUGAUCAUCAUUGGUAUAGUAUAUGAAUAUAUUAAAUUCUAGUCCCUGCUGUCUACAUAGUUCUUACAAAUAAUUAGUGAUACCAAUUCAAAUGAAAUGAAGCUCUCUGAGCAGAACUUUGCUUUUCCAGUGAACAGCCUUGUCACUGUAUACAGACUGUAUUUCAUCCCCAUUUCCCAUUGCCCCAGAUGCCCAUUUUGCCUUCCUGGCAGGACAGUGGAGGAAGUUCUCCAGGAAGUACUAAGGAUAUGGUAUGGUCGCUGAGUGAAGAUUGAGUCUUUCUUCUUCAUUAUAUAUGUUAUCCAGGCUAGAAGAACCAUAGUUUACCAGACAUGCAUACAUCUUUGGUCUUAAUUUUCCCACAACUUUGACUGCCUGAUCCUUCCCAGAGACUAGUAUAACUCAAAACUAUCAGGGGAAAAGAAGGGGAAAUGCAUGUUCAUUUCCCUUCCUAAUUCCACUCUCAGUUUCCUUCACUUUGCUGCUAUGUCAAAAUAUUUGUGGGCUAUGCACUUUACAUUUACAAAACCUUGUGUUACUUAUGAUGUAAUAGACCCAUAGUGAAAAAGACUUUUUGAUAGUGGAAGUAACUUGUCUGUCUGUGAGUCAUAAUCACAGAACAGUUAUUAUUGUUGCUAAAUUAAUGUCAGAACUGUAAUUUUCUGACCUACCUUGCAGAAACAUAACAAAAACACUAGACAAAGUGCAUGAUUCUGUUGUUGUUGAACAAGCUUUUAUACCAGCCUUUGUUUAAGAUUUCUUUAAACUUGCUUUGGAAUGAUUUCUUCAAAAAAAAAUUUACUAGCAAGAAGCUGUCAGCAAAAUGUUGGUAAAUACAUGAAAUAUUAUGUGAUUAAAUUUCUUGUAAAGAAGUCAAAGUGUGAGAUGAACUAUGGAAUAUACACUGAUCUACAUGAAGUACCCAGCAAUAGCAUAGACUUGGGUUAUGUAGAGUUCAUGACUGGUAGAUUAUCAUCUUAAUCAACAGAAGUAAUAAACCGCAUUUGAUUGGUUGUUUCA